GACGAACGCUGGCGGCGUGCUUAACACAUGCAAGUCGAACGGUGAAGGGACCGGUUUUUGCUGGUUCUGGAUGAGAGGCGAACGGGUGAGUAACACGUGAGUAACCUGCCCCCUUCUUCUGGAUAACCGCAUGAAAGUGUGGCUAAUACGGGAUAUUCUGCGCCUGGUGCAUGGUGGGGGUGGGAAAGUGAUUGAUUCGGUGGGGGAUGGGCUCGCGGCCUAUCAGCUUGUUGGUGGGGUGAUGGCCUACCAAGGCGGUGACGGGUAGCCGGCCUGGGAGGGUGGACGGUUGCACUGGGGCUGCGACACGGCCCCGACUCCUACGGGAGGCAGCAGUGGCGAGUAUUGCACAGUGGGCGCAAGCCUGAUGCAGCGCCGCCGCGUGGGGGAUGGACGCCUUCGGGUUGUAAACCUCUUUCGCCAGUGAAGCCGGCCUGUCCCUUUUGUGGGUGGGUUGACGGUAGCUGGAUAAGAAGCGCCGGCUAACUACGUG
rnacentral:rRNA from 1 species